rnacentral:rRNA from 1 species
AGCAGUCGCCGCGGGAACACGGAGGGUGCAAGCGUUAUCCGGAUUUAUUGGGUUUAAAGGGUCCGUAGGCGGACUUAUAAGUCAGUGGUGAAAGCCUGUCGCUUAACGAUAGAACUGCCAUUGAUACUGUAAGUCUUGAGUAUAUUUGAGGUAGCUGGAAUAAGUAGUGUAGCGGUGAAAUGCAUAGAUAUUACUUAGAACACCAAUUGCGAAGGCAGGUUACCAAGAUAUAACUGACGCUGAGGGACGAAAGCGUGGGUAGCGAACAGGAUUAGAUACCCCCGUAGUCCCUGUCUCUUAUAA